rnacentral:rRNA from 1 species
CCUACGGGUGGCAGCAGUGGGGAAUAUUGCGCAAUGGGCGAAAGCCUGACGCAGCGACGCCGCGUGAGGGAUGAAGGUCUUCGGAUCGUAAACCUCUGUCAGCAGGGAAGAACGGUCACUGUGCUAAUCAGCAGUGAAUUGACGGUACCUGAUUAAGAAGCCCCGGCUAACUACGUGCCAGCAGCCGCGGUAAUACGUAGGGGGCAAGCGUUAUCCGGAUUUACUGGGUGUAAAGGGAGCGUAGACGGCAGCGCAAGUCUGAAGUGAAAUGCCGGGGCUUAACCCCGGAACUGCGUUGGAAACUGGGCAGCUAGAGUGCAGGAGAGGUAAGUGGAAGUCCUAGUGUAGCGGUGAAAUGCGUAGAUAUUAGGAGGAACACCAGUGGCGAAGGCGGCUUACUGGACUGUAACUGACGUUGAGGCUCGAAAGCGUGGGGAGCAAACAGGAUUAGAUACCCCGGUAGUC